AUGGCCGGAAGCUGGCUGCCGAAUCCCUCCCGCCGCUGGCACCAGCCAGUCUCAGCUCGAGGCGAGGUGAGCACGCUGGCCCUUACCCUAACUCUGCUUGACUUCUUGGUUUAUCAUCAUCUGCCCCUGAACAAAUGCAACCUUCACCCCUGAAAAAUUCUCAGAUUUUGUUCAGUGAUGCAGCUAUAUAUGGGGAUGUGGUGGUCUUCUAUCUGAUUGCUUUGCCUAGUCGCCGGUCGCCACACAUUGGGGAUUGGGGUACUACUGUACAGAGGGCAACUGGGAAUUGAACAUCAAAUGUUUUGCAACUCGUAGAGAAACUAGUGUUACUUAUGCGCCUUUUGAGUUCAUUUUCAUGCUGUUGAAAACAACAAUUAAGCCAUAGGGCUGGAUACUGACGACAAUACGCCGGUUCUAAUUGAAGUUUAACAUAUCGAUGUACAUCAUUUUGAUAGUGAAAGAGAGCUUAUAUUAUAUAUAAAACGGCUGUUACAAUCCUAACCAAUCAAAGGGGAAAUAAAUCUACUCUGUUACUCUUGUAGCACGUCAGCUACAAGAGUCGCUUCCUUGUUUGUUCUAGCAUAAUAUGCGAAGCUGGUGGGCAGCUCCAUUGCUCUCUCUUAUGAUAUUACACAUGCAGCCUGCACUCCGGAAAAAUCUCCAUCACAAAUCCCUCUGUCAGUCUCUUCUCUGAAUUCUUUGACAGCACCUACUACUCCGCUGUGUAGUCCAUUUCAGGCACAGCCGGCCACCCUGUAAAUUUCAGAUAACUGACGGAGGCCAACCAGCCAUCACAUCGAUAGCUUGUAAGCCUCCUCUGCCUCAGAGCACGCUCUUAUCUUUCUAAUUAGCGUAAGUGGGAUAGAUUAUUUGGAUUUAGGUACCUUUGUCUUGUUUCAUUUAAGGAUACCGUGAAAGAUCUCUUAUAAUAGAAUUUGUUUACAAGGUUGACAAAAUGGAAAAGAAAAAGGGGCCCAAGGCUAUAUCAGUUUAGAGUUACUUAUGACCAUUCAGGAAUAGAGAGAAACAAGUCAUCUGCAUCAGAGCAGUACAAUCCUUCUUCCAUUACAUGCCAGACUGGAAUUUGUCAACAGAAAACUGAAACAGAAUAAGGAUUCAUAGAAGGCAUCGCAUCAUAUUGAUAUAACUAGCAACUACAGAGACACCACAGAGCAGUGACUUUGUAGGCAUCAUGUCCUCUGUCCUCACACCAUAUGGCAAUGGCUUGCUAAUGGUAGAUGUUUUGCACUGUUGGUAUUGUCUCCACCAGACCACUGUUCUAAGAAAAAGACCAAUAUAUUUGUCAUACACUGUACCCUUCUAACUUACAUCAGAGGUUGUACAAGUUAUGCAGUUGCAGUUUUUGGCAACAACAUGGCAGCUCUGUAAGACUGAUCCAGCUUACAAAACAUCAAUAUUUAAGAAAAUACAAUUGGAAAAAUAUUAUCAUUUAUCAUCUAAAAGAUCCAAAGCCUUCUGCACACUGUCUUCUCUUCAGUUUCUUGAUCCUCUGUUCAGCAGAUAGGCAAGGGCUCACCGUUCCACUCUUUGAGGCACUCGAGCAGCGCGUCGAUGUGCUUGCCCUGGUUCAUGGCGACGAACACCUUGUCCACCUCUUCCCCAGGAGACCGCGUCAUCUCUCCAGUCAAGUACUCAGUCCCAAGCUCCUUGCGCACAAACCGGUAGAGUGGGUACGACCGGCAUUCGGUGAUACGGUUCUGCUGCGCGGCGGUGCCGUUCUCCACUGAGGUCCGUGCAGCCUCGACCUCCCUUGGUAGAACUGCACGGAGCUCCUGCUCGAACGUGGCAAGCUUGGCAAACACCGACGUCUCCACAUCGCGCUCGGCCUCACCGUUGGCCAAAGCGUGCUCGACGAGAACUGCACGCAUCUUUUGCAUCAGUGGGUAGUUGGAGCUGCAAGGGUCAUCUGCAUACGCGAACACCGCCUCACGGUCGAUCGUGAGCAGCAAGUCCUUCUCGCAGAAGCGUGCGUUGUGGAGAUGUCCAUUGUUGUUGGUGCUGAGUGUCUUCCUGGCUGCCAUCUUCACACAGCUCUUGACGGCAUCCUUGAUAUUCUCCUCGAGGUGACGGAGGUCGAUGGCCUGGCACAAGGCGACCAUGAAAGUAGAGGACAUGAGCUUGAGUAUGUCAAUGGCCUCGGCGGUCUUCCUGGAGGAGAUAAGACCAAGAGAGUUGACAUCUUGGUUGUGUUGCUCGGCGCUCUGGACAUGGUUGGUCACCGGGUUGCCUAAGAACUGGAGCUCGGAGCAGUAUGAGGCCAUGGCAAUCUCAGCACCCUUGAACCCAUAGUCCAAACUCGGGUUGCGCCCGCCGGAGAGGUUGGAAGGCAGACCGUUGUUGUAGAAGUCGUUCACCAGCUCUGAGAACUGCGCAAACAUGAGCUUGCCGAUCGCAGCAAUGGCGAGCCUUGUGCCAGGAUGGCCUUGCCGCGGGAGACGUCGAUCAGUGGGUUGUCGUUCACGGAGUUGAUCUCCCGCUCGAUUGACUUGGUGGCAGCGCGUAUCACCUCUACCUGGGGGCCAAGCCAUUGUGGCGAUGUUCGGAGUGCAUACCUAUCUUGCUUUGGCUUCAUCAACGGGUCAAGCUCGCCGAGCUUCUUUGCGAGUGCCAUGUAGGAGCUUCCUUCAAGGAUGUGCUCCAUGAUGGCGGCAGCCUCAAUCUGCCCGGGGUGGUGCUUUAGCUUGUGUGUCAAGUGGUCAGUGUACUCCGGCUUACCGUUCAUGACCUCGCAGAAGACGGCUGAUAGAACCUCGGCAAGGAGGCUGAGGAUGUUAGCCUCGAAAAGCACCAUGGACGCAAGCCCGGAGCCCACUGCUGUGCCGUUCACCAUGGCAAGCCCUUCCUUGGGCUGCAGCUCAAAGAAGCCAUGCUGGAUGCCGGCGAUCUUGAAGGCCUCCGCUGCGUUAACCUUGCUGCCGUCCGGAGCAGUGGCCAUGGAAUUUGCCCGACCGGUCACCAGGCCCGCGAUAUAGGAAAGCGGAACAAGGUCGCCGGAGGCGGUGAUCGUGCCCCGGAGCGGCAGGCAUGGUGUCACGUUGGCAUUGAGAAGCGCAGCGACCGUCUCGAGGAUCUCAAAGCGGAUGCCAGAGUACCCCUGGAGCAGAGUGUUGACACGGACAAGCAUCGCCGCCCUCGUCGCUGCGGCGGGAAGAACAUGGUCGUGGCCACCUGUGCCGAAGGCUCCGGCAUUAAGGAAUCUGAACAAACAAGAAGUGCACAAGAAAAUAAGGCAUCCAGAUCACUAAAAAAAUGAGGAGUACAGGACGAUCAACAACUGAAUAUCUAACUUGUUGGUGGUUUAGUUUAACUGAUUCGUACCUGAUGAGCUCCCUCUGGAGAGCGCCACCCUCCUUGGUCCUCCGGUGGGAUGUGGCGCCGAAGCCUGUGGUGACACCGUAGCUGUCGGUGCCGUUUGCCAUGCUGUUCAUGACCCAGUCACUGCUCUCCUUGACCCGGCCUCGGGCAGACUCGUCGAGCUCCACCCUGGUCUCACUACCGGCGGCCACAGCGGCGACCAUGGCAAUGGUCAGGCUAGCACCCUCCAUGGUCACCACUGGCCUACGGUACUCCUGGACCAUCUGCUUCACCGCGUCCAAAUGGCUCCCGGACAGCUGCUCCGCUGCCUUGCCCCAGUUCAGCGGGUCGGCCCGCGCAGGCUGCGCCACGCCCAAGCUGUUGCCGUUGCCGGCGACCUGCCCGUUCUCGCACUCCAUCCAGAUAUGCAAAUUAAGAAGCAAGCUAGAAACUUGGCAGCUGUAAGUAUGUGUAUCUGGAUGAACUCUGUAAGUGGUAGAAGGACUUGCGCUGAAGUGGAGCUCAAAUUGGAGAGGAAAGCGAGGGAGGCUCUUGUUGGAGAGGAAUGGAGGAAGAGCAUGGGUUAAAUAGGUAGGGUGGUGGGUGGGUGUGGACUUGACCGCUGGAUUGGUCCUAGUCAGGGUUGGUGUAUUCUUGUGUUAAUCAUGCAUGCAACGACCCUGUUUGCUCUUAGGAGAAACGAAUCUAGCUACUUGGUCCAAGCCACUCGUCUUCUUCCUUCUAAUGGUGAACGUUUCAAACAAGCGUACGUAGUGGCUGCUUGCACGAUGCAUAAACUACUAUAGGAAAUCUUAUUAAAAAACAGCUACACGGAGGUAUGGUCUUUGCUUUGACAAAGUAUCUGUGAGUCCAAAGCUGGACAAACAGGAGUUGUUAUCUGCUAAUGAUCCAUAAGAGCUUUCACUUUCACUAGUAUUUUGUUGGGUGCAACGAACCCCACAUAUUCUCACGUGCUCGGUCAUAUGGGUGGGUGCAAGUGAGAGAUAUUCCGGUUUGCAGUGGUCCUAGCGCGUUGCAUGUAUGCCACCGUGUGAAAGAUACAGUGCCACUUGACUUGCCAGAUUUCUUAGUGCAACAUGACUUGCGAGACAUGAGUUUGCUCGGUGGAAACGAUUUCUUAGAAAAAGCAACGGCCAUCCUCUCGUCAGUCAUCCGCGUGCACAUGUGAAUGCCAUCACAAGCAUGCCACAGAAAAUUAGGACCAUAUAUGCGUGAGUGGUCAAGUCGUUGGUCAUACCAAGUCGUGUGUGAUAUUUCAUUGCUAAACUCGUUAAAUCUCAGUCGACUGAGAUUUAGCGGAAUAUCAGUCGACGCACCCCCUUUUUCGGAUCUUUUUUUGCUUCAAUUAAAUCUCAGUAGUGACAAUUAAAUUUAUGCAAACAGUGGACCAAAUUGUUACUUUGUGAAGUCAAUUAAUCUAUUUAGCUUUUCCACGCAAAAGGAGAAUAAUUACCCAAUAUAUUUUUUUCAGAAAUUUAACCCAAUGUUCGUAUGGGUGCAGCAAGAUUAUCCGUUAGGCUCUGUAGCACACAUAAGAAAUCACAUGAUUUGGCUAUCUAAGAUAUGCAGAAUCAAAUGCAAUGCAUGUGUAGUGCAGAUAAAAAUCAAAAUAUUGUAAAAGAUGGAGCUCGUACGUACCAAACCUGCCAGAUGGCUUUAUAUGAAGUUCAGAAUUAGGAUUAGGCUGCACAUCAAGAAGCGCCAAUUCAUUCUCAGACAUUUAUACUUAUCCGGAGAACAACAUAGAGUUGGGCUGCACAGUGUUCCAGCAUGUACAUCUGGGAAAAUAACAAACUGAAGAUCAACACAGGAGCACUUGAACUUAAACUGCAGAAGCAUUGUUGUAGUCCGUAGGUCGCCGUCCUCGCCAAGUUCAAGCUAGCAAGCACCUCGGAACUACCAGCAAGCGGCACAAAACGUACAAACACAACAUAAGAACAGGAAAUUAAUCUAACAACAAAGAAAGAAACCCAGAACAUAUAGGAGGCUCGAGCUCACCAUUGCUACUUUGACCUUCAUCGGAGCUGUGCAGACCAUGGAAAUCCAUCAAAAAAUACAGAAGAUUAAUCCUCCAAAGCACCACCAGAAAUCCAAAAAUACAAUAGCUAAUAAGUGCAUGCACUGACGGCCUGACGGGCCAAUCGCAAGGAGAAGAGAUGCUCAAGCUCUUUUUCAGUUGGGCUUGUGAGUGUUCAUAGCGACAUAAAGAGGGCAUUUGUGAGGCCAGCGACCUUCUCCUUCCCGAACUCAUCCGCUGGAAACGUGGCCGAUGGUCAUGGUAUGUCUGAGACCGUCGACGCGAGGAGGGCAUGGAGCAGAGCAACCCGUGCGCACACAUACUCGCUUGGCUUCGCAGGGAUGGCCGCAUCAGGCCGCGAUGGUGAUGGACGCGUCUUGUGCGUCCGAGGACGCCAGCGGGAGGAAGCCCGGAGUAGGAGCGGCGCGUCAGGAGAGCCGGGAGCAGACCAACGGCGUGCGCACAUGCUGAUUCGGCUGCGCGAGGAUGGCCUCAUCUCGAUGACUCUUUCCACGGAAAGGAUGAAGGGAUCCAACGUGAGCGCCCAUAGGGAUAGCUAGAGCUCCGAUAUGCCUACAAUCAGAAGGCCCAUCAGGGACGAAUUGCAGGGAUCCCGAAACGGGAAGCAGUGCGUUGGAGCGGGAGGAAGAGUACGGGGGACGGGGAGGCUUGGGAAAGCCGAGGGGAGGGGAAGGGGAAGAAUAAGCGGUGGCCAGGGAGAGGAAGCGGAGAAGGCCAACUCGCUCGCCUCGGUUUCCAUACUGUAUUAAUUGAUUGCGUGGCUCAUAAUAAGUCGAAAGUGGAACACGCAUGCUAAUGGUGAAGCUGACGUGCAUGUUUUCUAUUGUGGUGGGCAGUGUGGGCCCCGCAUGUAAGCCUAUGACCAAAUGUUGAUGUGGCACUAUUGCUGAUGUGGAUGGGCUGCAUGUCAAGAGAAAUACCAUAGUGGGGAUGAACUAUUUAGGUAUUAUAGAUAAGGACAACUUGACAUAUUGCAUGACCUUAUUUUCUUAAUUCAGUGUAAAGUUUCUAUGCAUGAAAUUUAAGGUUUGUACCAAAUUGAAGCUACAUGCUUUUGUGCAGGACUAUAGAUUUGUGAUAUAUGACUCUGAAAAGCCAUCUUUGGCCCAUCAGAAUGAAGAGACAAAUCAAAAGAGACAUAGGGUGAUUUGGGAGGGAAUAAUGAAGAGCCAUAUAUCUUCUACAAGUCCACCUAUGGGGAGAUGUUCAUGGAGCCUUCGGCUCAUCAGAAUGUAGGGAAAAUCCAAAGGAGACAUCCAGAGACUUGGGAAAGGGGACCAAGAAAGAGCCAUGUUUCCUUGACAUCCCUAUAUAUGUAUAUAUAUAUUAUAUUAUAUAUCAUCAGAUGUCCAUGGAGCAGAAUAUCAUGGGAAGUUUUCGAGCUCUCUCUCAGCAAUUUCAGGUAAGAACUACAAAUACCUUAUUUCAAUACUCCCAUGUGCAAAGCGACAUUGACCAUGCGAUACCCAUCAUUGAUUCUUGUUCACAUGUACAACUCCCUGAAGCAAAAGUUAUGGUGAAUUUGGGGAACAUAUAUAGGA
rnacentral:lncRNA from 1 species